rnacentral:lncRNA from 1 species
AGUACAUAAACGCCUACGUCAGAAUCUGGAGUCAGCUGGAGUGUGCCAGCAGGGUGCAUUUGGAUGGUAAUUAUAGAAGCCUAGAAACCUAAGGGAGUCUUCAGGGAUGAAUCUCCAAUGGUGGAAGAUGAGCAAGAUGGCCCUUACCAGAUGCUGGCACCUUGAUAUUUGACUUCCCAGCCUCCAGAACUGUGAGAAACAAAUUUAUUUUCUUUAUAAAUUACUCAGAUUGUGGUGUUCUGUUACAGCAACACAAAAUGGACUAUGUGAAGAAAACCAUGUUGGAAUCUUGUGCUGUCAUUGAUAAGAAAGGAUCUGAGCAUUAGGUCAAUCACCAAAAAACUGAAAAAUCAGUAACAAUGAUGACAGACUCUUCAAAUAGGAUGAUUUAAAUUUUAGGAAAUUGGAAGAAGACUCCAAGAAACUUAACAAGGUCCUCCAAUAUUUUCCCCAAAAUGAUCUUCUCUGAUUUGACUAUGCUUGUUCCUCCAUAUCUCCCUGAUCCCUAGACUUCUUCUGUCCUCUAUCCACAUUCUCUCCCAAGGUGGGUCAUCUAGUUUCAUGACUUUAAAUCCUCCCUUAAACUGUUGGUUCUC